GUCGUACGGCUAUCUCACACAUAGCCGUGGCGGACGGGUGAGUAAUAUGUGAGUAUCUACGUUUAGGAGAGGGAUAACGUGUGGAAACGCUCGGUAAUACCUCAUAAAGCUAUUAAGUUAAAGAUUUUCUAUUAAGAUUUUCGCCUAUACAUGAGCUUGCAUCUGAUUAGUUAGUUGGUGGGGUAAUGGCUUACCAAGACUUUGAUCAGUAGUUGAUUUGAGAGAAUGGUCAACCACACUGGGACUGAGAUACGGUACAGACUCCUACGGGAGGCAGCAGUGGGGAAUAUUGCACAAUGAGCGAAAAGCUUGAUGCAGCAAUACCGCGUGGAGGAAGACGGUUUUAGAAUUGUAAACUCCUUUUUUUAGGAAAGAAUAUAUGACGGUACCUGAAGAAUAAGCAUCGGCUAAUUCUGUGCCAGCAGCCGCGGUAAUACAGGAGAUGCAAGCGUUAUCCGGAAUUAUUGGGCGUAAAGAGUGCGUAGGUUGCUGUACAUGUCUGGUAUUAAAUUUCAAAACUUAAUUUUGAUUCUGUAUUAGAAACUGUAUGGCUUGAGUGCAGUAAAGGUAAGGGGAAUUUUCAGUGUAGCGGUGAAAUGCGUAGAUAUUGGAAAGAACACCAUAGGCGAAGGCGCCUUACUGGGCUGUUACUGACUUUGAGGCACGAAAGCUGAGGUAGUGAAUCAGAUUAGAUACCUGAGUAAUCUUAGCUGUAAACGAUGGGUACUAAAUGGCGUUGAUACGCUGUUAAAGCUAACGCGUUAAGUAUCCCGCCUGGGGAGUACGCUUGCAAAAGUGAAACUCAAAGGAAUUGACGGGGGCUCGCACAAGCGGUGGAGCAUGCGGUUUAAUUCGAUGGUACCCGAAGAAACUUACCAGAACUUGACAUGCCAAUUCGCUUCUGAAAGGGAGUUUGCUUUUAAGAUUUUGGACACAGGUGGUGCAUGGCUGUCAUCAGUUCGUGUAGUGAUAUAUUUAGUUAAGUCUAGUAACGGACGCAACCCUCUCUUUUAGUUAUUUUUUUCAUGUCUAAAAGUACUGCCGAUUAUAAGUCGGAGGAAGGUGAGGAUGAGGUCAAGUCAUCAUGCCCCUUAUGUUCUGGGCUACACGCGUGCUACAAUGGUUAAGACAAUGAGUUGCCACUUCGUGAGGAGGAGCUAAUCUCUUAAACUUAACCUUAGUUCAGAUGGUAGGCUGUAACUCGCCUGCCUUAAGUCGGAAUCGCUAGUAAUCGCCAAUCAGCUAUGUGGCGGUGAAUACGUUCUCGAGCCUUGUCCACACCGCCCGUCACACCAUGAGAGUUGGCAAUACCUGAAGAUAGUCUUUCAACAUUUGAGGAAUCUAUCUAUGGUCGGGUUAAUAAUUGGG
rnacentral:rRNA from 1 species